CCUACGUGAGGCUGCAGUGGGGGAUAUUGCACAAUGGGGGGAACCCUGAUGCAGCGACGCCGCGUGUGGGAAGACGGUCCUCUGGAUUGUAAACCACUGUCCCCAGGGACGAAAAUGACGGUACCUGGGGCGGACGCUCCGGCUACCUCCGUGCCAGCAGCCGCGGUAAUACGUAGGGAGCGAGCGUUGUCCGGAAUUACUGGGUGUAAAGGGAGCGUAGGCGGGGAUGAAAGUUGGGUGUCAAAACUACCGGCUCAACUGGUAGUCGCACUCAAAACUGCAGCUCUUGAGUGAAGUAGAGGCAGGCGGAAUUCCUAGUGUAGCGGUGAAAUGCGUAGAUAUUAGGAGGAACACCAGUGGCGAAGGCGGCCUGCUGGGCUUUUACUGACGCUGAGGCUCGAAAGUGUGGGGAGCAAACAGGAUUAGAUACCCGGGUAGUC
rnacentral:rRNA from 1 species